rnacentral:rRNA from 1 species
UACGAAGGGGGCGAGCGUUGUUCGGAAUUACUGGGCGUAAAGGGCUCGUAGGCGGCCAACUAAGUCAGACGUGAAAUCCCUCGGCUUAACCGGGGAACUGCGUCUGAUACUGGAUGGCUUGAGAUUGGGAGAGGGAUGCGGAAUUCCAGGUGUAGCGGUGAAAUGCGUAGAUAUCUGGAGGAACACCGGUGGCGAAGGCGACAUCCUGGACCAACACUGACGCUGAGGAGCGAAAGCCAGGGGAGCAAACGGG